GAUGAACGCUGGCGGCGUGCCUAAUACAUGCAAGUCGAGCGGUAAGGCCCUUCGGGGUACACGAGCGGCGGACGGGUGAGUAACGCGUAAGAAUCUACCCCAAACUGAGGGAUAACUGCUCGAAAGAGUAGCUAAUACCGCAUGUGCUCUACGGAGUAAAACUACGGCGGUUUGGGAAGAGCUUGCGUACGAUUAGCUAGUUGGUAAGGUAAUGGCUUACCAAGGCGACGAUCGUUAGCUGGUCUGAGAGGAUGAUCCGCCACACUGGGACUGAGACACGGCCCAGACUCCUACGGGAGGCAGCAGUGGGGAAUAUUGGACAAUGGGCGGAAGCCUGAUCCAGCCAUGCCGCGUGUGUGAAGAAGGCCUUUUGGUUGUAAAGCACUUUAAGCGAGGAGGAGGCUACUAGUAUUAAUACUACUGGAUAGUGGACGUUACUCGCAGAAUAAGCACCGGCUAACUCUGUGCCAGCAGCCGCCGUAA
rnacentral:rRNA from 1 species